GACGAACGCUGGCGGCGUGCUUAACACAUGCAGGUCGAACGAUGAUGCUGGAGCUUGCUCCAGUUGAUUAGUGGCGAACGGGUGAGUAACACGUGAGCAAUCUGCCCUUGACUCUGGGAUAACUGCGGGAAACUGUAGCUAAUACCGGAUACUUUCACCGGAAGGCAUCUUCUGGUGAUGAAAGAAUUUCGGUCAGGGAUGAGCUCGCGGCCUAUCAGCUUGUUGGUGAGGUAACGGCUCACCAAGGCGACGACGGGUAGCCGGCCUGAGAGGGUGACCGGCCACACUGGGACUGAGACAGGGCCCAGACUCCUACGGGAGGCAGCAGAGGGGAAUAGUGCACAAUGGGCGCAAGCCUGAUGCAGCAACGCCGCGUGAGGGAUGAAGGCCUUCGGGUUGUAAACCUCUUUUAGCAGGGAAGAAGCGAAAGUGACGGUACCUGCAGAAAAAGCACCGGCUAACUACGUGCCAGCCGCCGCCGUAA
rnacentral:rRNA from 1 species